rnacentral:rRNA from 1 species
GAAUUUUUCGCAAUGGGCGCAAGCCUGACGAAGCAACGCCGCGUGGAGGAUGAAGGCCCUCGCGGUCGUAAACUCCUGUCUAGCGGGACGACAGUUAUCUAGAUGAAUAAGAUAGAUAAUUGACUGUACCGCUGGAGGAAGCUCCGGCCAACUCCGUGCCCGCCGCCGCGGUCAUACGGAGGUAGCAAGCGUCACUCGGAAUUAUUGGGCGUAAAGGGCGCGUAGGCGACUCUACAAGUCUUGUGUGAAAGCCCCGGGCUUAACCUGGGAAGAGCACGAGAAACUGUAGGGUUUGAGUUCCGGAGAGGAAGAUGGAACUCCCGGUGUAGCGGUGAAAUGCGUAGAUAUCGGGAGGAACACCAGAGGCGAAGGCGAUCUUCUGGACGGAUACUGACGCUGAGGCGCGAAAGCUAGGGGAGCAAACGGG